GCCCACGUAGCUCAGAGGCAGAGCAAUUCCAUGGUAAGGAAUAGGUCGGCGGUUCAAAUCCGCCCGUGGGCUCCA
rnacentral:tRNA from 1 species